GAUGAACGCUAGCGGCAGGCUUAAUACAUGCAAGUCGAGGGACAGCACAGGUAGCAAUACUUGGUGGUAACCGGCAAACGGGUGCGGAACACGUACACAACCUUUCUUUAAGUAGGGGAUAGCCCAGAGACAUUUGGAUUAAUACUCCGUAAUAUAGUUGAAUGGCAUCAUUUGAUUAUUAUAGCUACGGAGCUUACUGAUGGGUGUGCGGCUGAUUAGAUAGUUGGUGGUGUAACGGGCCACCAAGUCUACGAUCAGUAGCUGAUGUGAGAGCAUGAUCAGCCACACGGGCACUGAGACCCGGUCCCGACUCCUACAGGAGGCAGCAGUAAGGAAUAUUGGUCAAUGGACGCAAGUCUGAACCAGCCAUGCCGCGUGAAGGAUUAAGGUCCUCUGGAUUGUAAACUUCUUUUAUUUGGUACGAAAAAGGGCCUUUCUAGAUCAACUGACGGUACCAGAUGAAUAAGCACCGGCUAACUCCGUGCCAGCCGCCGCGGUAAUAC
rnacentral:rRNA from 1 species